rnacentral:rRNA from 1 species
GAUUCCCCUAGUAACGGCGAGCGAACCGGGAGCAGCCCAGCUUGAGAAUCGGACGGCCCCGUCGCCCGAAUUGUAGUCUGUAGAAGCGUCCUCAGCGACGGACCGGGCCCAAGUCCACUGGAAGGUGGCGCCGGAGAGGGUGAGAGCCCCGUCGUGCCCGGACCCUGCCGCACCACGAGGCGCUGUCGGCGAGUCGGGUUGUUUGGGAAUGCAGCCCUAAUCGGGCGGUAAGUUCCGUCCAAGGCUAAAUACCGGCGAGAGACCGAUAGCGAACAAGUACCGCGAGGGAAAGAUGAAAAGGACUUUGAAAAGAGAGUCAAAGAGUGCUUGAAAUUGUCGGGAGGGAAGCGGAUGGGGGCCGGCGAUGCGCCUCGGUCGGACGCGGAACGGUGUCAAUGCCGGUCCGCCGCUCGGCUCGGGGCGCGGACCGUUGCGGGUCGUGGCGGCGGCCUAAGCCCGUGCGGACGAUCCCGCGCGUGGAGUCGUCGCCGCCUCGACCGGGGAAGUCAUCAGCACGCGCCGAGUCGGCGUGCCAACCGCGUGCUCUCGGCAACGGCCUGCGGGCCCCCCAUUCGG